AUACUUACCUGGCAGAGGAAAUAGCAUGAUCCCAAAGGUGGUUUUCCCAGGGUGAGCACCAUCCAUUAAACUCCGGAUAGGCUGACCCCUGUGAUUUCUCCAAAUGAAAGAAACUCAAAUGCAUUGAUUCUUGGUAGUGGGGGAUUGAAUCCAUGCUCUCCCCUG